AUUGAACGCUGGCGGCAUGCUUUACACAUGCAAGUCGAACGGUAACAGGUUAAGCUGACGAGUGGCGAACGGGUGAGUAAUGCAUCGGAACGUGCCCGGUCGUGGGGGAUAACGCAGCGAAAGUUGCGCUAAUACCGCAUACGAUCUGAGGAUGAAAGCGGGGGACCGUAAGGCCUCGCGCGAUCGGAGCGGCCGAUGGCAGAUUAGGUAGUGGUGGGGUAAAGGCUCACCAAGCCAACGAUCUGUAGCUGGUCUGAGAGGACGACCAGCCACACGUGGACUGAGACACGGCCCAGACUCCUACGGGAGGCAGCAGUGGGGAAGUUUGGACAAUGGGCGAAAGCCUGAUCCAGCAAUGCCGCGUGCAGGAAGAAGGCCUUCGGGUUGUAAACUGCUUUUGUACGGAGCGAAAAGGUCUCCUCUAAUACAGGGGGCUCAUGACGGUACCGUAAGAAUAAGCACCGGCUAACUACGUGCCAGCAGCCGCCGCCG
rnacentral:rRNA from 1 species